rnacentral:rRNA from 1 species
CACGUAGGGGGCGAGCGUUGUCCGGAAUUACUGGGCGUAAAGAGCGCGUAGGUGGUCUGGUAAGCGAGGGGUGAAAGCCCACGGCUCAACUGUGGAAUUGCUUCUCGAACUGCCAGACUAGAGGCCGGAGGAGGCCAGUGGAAUUGGCGGUGUAGCGGUGAAAUGCGUAAAUAUCGCCAAGAACGCCAGUGGUGAAGACGGCUGGCUGAGACGGUCCUGACACUGAGGCGCGAAAGCUGGGGUAG